rnacentral:lncRNA from 10 species
GCCUGUUUUCUUACCUGCAAAAUGUGAGGCAAUGAGAAUGCUAACCUCACAGAAUUGCUAUGAGAGCUACCGUUCAUUGAGGGAUUACCAAGUACCGGGUGCUGGCUAACAACUUCUAGUCAUUGUCUUUGUUUUUUACAACUUUGUGAAGUAUUACUGUUGGAAGAUGCAAUGAGGUAAUGCAGGUAAAGCGAUCAGCAUAGUGCCAGCACAUAACAAUGUGAACUACUUUUAUUAUUAUUACUAAUACUUUGUGGGGUAGUCCCCAGCAAACUGCACAAUUCACAGCCUUUUCCAGCCUAUGAAUCGGGAUAUCUCUUCCUAGCUGGCAGAAUCAUCCUGAUGCUUGGAGAUUUCCACUUAAGAGGAACACGCACUACCAGCUUCAUCGUCAGGACCCAGGUGGGCAAGUUGACGGUGGUCAGGCUGCAGCAGACACUUUUAGUUGCAUGUAAAUUAUCUAGGUGCCCUUUCCUAAUUAGAGAAGAAAGUGAGUUUCUGCUAUUUUAAAAAUUCUUCCCUGUAUGGGAAUUUUUCUUUCAUGCUAUAUUCUCCUCUUGGUGUCUUGUCUAAUUUUCCUUUUCUCCCCCCAUCUAUUGUUCAACUGAGGUGUGAAAGAAGUUGAAAUCCACCUGUAAACCCGGGGGUGCCACAUCCCUUCAUUUAUUCACUCACUGAUUCACUCAACAAACAUUCACUGAGGAUUACUCUGUAAAUGGCCACGUACUGGGUGCUGAGGACAAAAAAGGUGAAGGCCACUGCCAUUCAUGUGGCUACACUGUUCUGUCCCCUUUCGGUCCCUGCCCUUGAAAGUUCCCAAUUCUUGCUGACCUCCUGGAAAAGCCUAGAGAAAUACCAUCAAAUAACGGAGAGAUAAUUUCCCUUCAAGACUUUCACUAGGUCAGUUGUUCUAACCUUUUUAGGAGGCAAAAGGAAUAGAGAGGGGGAGGCAGCCAGCCAGGAUUAUUUGCGGCAUUUUAGAUAGGAAAGCUGAGUUCCAGAGAGGGGAGGGAAGGCAAGAGAGGGAAAGGAACUCAAUUAUUUCAUAGAGUCAGGCCUUGUGCCUUUUUAUUCUCAUACAUGCCUUGUGAGGUGGGUAUUUUUAUCAUCAUUUUACAUGGGCAAAAACUGACACUUAGGUUAAGGAGCUCAUCCAAGUCACCCAAUCUAUAGGUGGCAGAGCUGGGCUUAAAACACAGGUGUGAUCUUGGAACUAAGCUCUCAGCCUGCUGACUCAGCAACUACACUGCAGGUCAGUAGUGGAUUUGGGAACCUCCUGCUUCCCAGUCCUCUGCCUGGUCUUCUAGGCCAACAGUUUUACAACUUGGACACGCAUCAGAAUCACCUGGAGGGCCUGUGAAAACACAUAACGCUGAGCCAUACCCCCAGUUUCUGAUUCAGUAGGUCUAGGGUGGGGCUGAGAAUUUGCAUUUUUAACUAGUUCCCAGGUGAUGAUGAUGAUGAUGAUGGUCCACGGACCACAGUUUGAGAACACUGUUCUAGGUGUUCUCUUUCAAAAUAAUGACUCCCUCUCUUCCCCUUAACGACUCCAAAGGUAACAUAGGUUUGUAAAAUACAACAAAUAUAUAACAUGUAGAACCUACAGAAAAAUAGGAAGAAUGGAAUUCAUCCACAUUCUUCUGCUCAGAAAUAACCACUCUUAACAGUUUGGCACAUCUCCUCUGUCUUCUUUUCAGAGGCUAAGCACAGAGGAAGCGGGGUGGCCUAUGGCUGCUCGGCUAAGACCCGGUUAAGAUCCCAGUGCUUCCGUGAGACCUUGGGCAAGCCUGAACCAGGUCUGGGUCCCCUCUUCGGCAAAACUGCAUUUACACUCCCAUCCCGCAUUAGUUUGUUGGGAGGGUUUAAAGAAGAGCGUGUAUUUAUCAAGCACUCGACACAAUGUCAGAUGCGGAGUCAGCGCUCCAUAAAUGUUGGCUGUCAUUUUUGUUCUAACGUAAGAGAAAGCUGGAUGAUCCCAUCUGGGUUUCAGCCCCGUUUUCCCUCUUCACUCCUCCGGUGGGUCAGUGGGAGCUCUGCCGACCGCCUGGCUGCGGCCACUCACUGCUGGGACUGCGCAGCCUGCCCGCUCCCAGCAGCUGGCGGAGCCGCAGGACCCCCGCGCCGCCCGGGCCGCCGCCGUUAGGGUUGGCUCAAGCCUCUCGGCCCAGUCCGCCAGUUUUACAGCCCGAACUCAAAGAGGGCUUUUAACUUUUCAUUCAGCAGCAGCGUAGCUCCGACUUUUAAUAACACACCUCGUGCACGACAAAAAUUUGCUCCUGGCAAUCAUGGUUUCGACCACAAAACCACAGCGGGGAGGCGUUCCUGAUUAACUCUUUCAGCGCUCCAGGCAGUCUGGAGCCGGCGCUCCUGGAGAUCAGAUAGAACGGCGGCGGCGGCCGCGGUCAGGACUGCGACGGUUCUAGUCCCCUUCCCCCAACCGAGUCGCGUCUCUGCGAGGCUGAGGGGAGACUCCAGGCGGCAGCGGUGGGGCCCAGAGAGCAGGGAGCGAGGCCGCGGGGGACGCUCCUGCCUCGGUGCCUUAGACCUACUGUGUGCCAAGCCCCUUUGCGGCGAAACUCUCCCUUCCUGGGCUGUCAACGGGGCCUGCCUGGAGCGCCGGCCGGCCCUCCAGAGGGGAACAACAGGUCACCGGGGAGGUCGCCUGCGGCUCCAGCUCCCCGGGGGCCCCGACGCACCUUCAGGAAAACCCGACGCUGGGCAGCUCGCGGGCGCCGGCUGUUUUCCUGCGAGACCCAGGCGGUCGGCGGCGACUUCCGGCGCCCUCGGCCGCAGCCCAGGAUCCCUUGCGCCCUGCGGUAGCCCGGGGCUGCCCAGGGCUGCGGGCUCCAGGCACCCAGAGCGCUGCGACCACAUGAAAGGCCCGGCGCUCAGCACCCGCCAGCCACCUCCAGCUGGUUUCUAACUACACCGCCGGGGCCUCCAUGCUUCUCAGAGACCAGCCUUCGAAGUGCCGCCUUACACCCGGGGCCUGGCCACCGGGCGGGCGCGGAUGGAGCUCUGGUCCACAUUUGGGAGCUCACAGUUGUUCCUGCCAGAUGUGGAAGCUGAGACUUAAAGAAGCUAUGAAACUUGAUCAGGUCAUGCAGCGCCAGAGGACCCAAGGUGGGAUCUCAACCCAGACUGUUUGGCUCCAAAGCUGAACUGCUACAUUACGUUGCUUCAGCAAACAGUCAUUCAGCAAAUACAGGCUCCAGCUGCAGCCACUUUGAAGAUAAAGUUUCCUCCAUAGAAAUUCUGCAAUACAGAUGUCCUUCCGCGGUCCCAGUUCAGUCCUGCACCAGUUCCUUUUCCCACUGGGAAAUUUCUUUCCUCUUCCUACUUCCAUGCAACUGCGAGGCAAGGCUCAAGCCCACUUCCUUCUCCUUUUCCUGUGCCUCCCUGUGGAGGGAGCUCCCUCUUCUUCACAGCUCCAGGCUCUUCCCUACUCUGGCCCAACCUUAUGGGCAUUUUGCUCCAUAACUCUCCUCGAUCUGAACUGCUUCUGAUUUCUCUCAAGUCAUGUCGGGGAAUCUCACAAAUGCAUUCUGAGAAAUACAAGAAUGCCUGAGAUGUUCCCGGCAGAAAAGAUUCCAGGAUCAAAACAUUUGGGAAAAGCUUCACAUCUCUCCUUAGAAAUGAACAAGGCAUAGUCAUCAAGCAUCUGAAAAGUCCUGCAGUCAGGAAACCUACCUUGUUUGUUUUUUAACCCAGUAUUUCUCAAACUAAGAUGGCCAUGAUUUCAUCUCCUCCAUCCCCACUGACUCCUAUAACAACCUGUAGAACCAGUGAUCCACUGUGGAACACACUUUGGGAAACACUGUCCCCAGCCCUCCAAGAAGGCAUAGAGUUGACCUUGCCUUCAUUGAUUUAAACCCUUCCUGUUUCUCUGGGCUAUUUACUUAUUAUCUCACAUACAAAAUAAUCUAAGGUGAUGUCUGCCCAAUUGGGUUUUUAGGAAAGACAUACCCAAUGGGAAUGAAGAUUUUCUUAGCAGGAUUUGAUGAGCCCAUUACUAGAAAAAAAAUCAAGGAUUUCCCAGACUUUCAGGGUGAGGAGAGAAUUUGAUACAAGCAGCAGAGGCUGGGCGUAGUGACCCAUGCCUAGCACUUUGGUAGGCCAAGGAGGGAGGAUUGCUUGAACCCAGGAAUCCAAGACCAGCCUGGGCAACAUAGUAAGAUCCCAUCUCAAUUUUUUAAAGAAGGAUUUAUCAAACUUGUUUCCUAGUCAACGGAUAAAGCCAGAGAGGUAAUGGCCAGAAACCCAAAAUCUAGAGAGUACCAGAUAAAUACUUUUUGGGUGAAUGAAUGAAUGAGCAGGCUAUUGAUCACAAAGUUGGCAGACAUUGUGAAUGAAUGGAUGAAUUAAUAAACAAUCAAAUAACUGGUCUCCAGGCCUCCAGACUUUCUGAACUUCAUUGUAUCUACCUGCUGUGGCCACAUAUAUAUCUCCUCAAAACCCAGAUCUCAUCAGUCCACUCUUCUGUUCCCUGGCUGGCUCCCUGUUGCCUUCAGGAUAAAGUCUACAUGCCUUUGUCCUGGCAUUGAAAACUCUGCAAAACAAAGCUCCAACCUAGCUUUCCAUCCUUCUUUCUCUUCCCCAUUGGGUACCCCUUACUCUAGUCACACCAGUCCCCAAUUCACUUUAUCCGUCUCCUUUUCUUUCUCAAGCUAUUCUCUAUACCUCACCUUUUCUCCCCUGCCUCCAUUGUUGCUUAUUCAACCCUAGCAGUGCUUUCAGGCUCAGCUCAAACCUUAUCACCCAUGUUAAAUGAAAGAAGCCAGACACAAGAAGGGGACAUUCUGAAUGAUUCCAUUUAUAUGAAGGUUAAGAACAGGCAAAACUAUUGUGGGGAAAAAACAGAACUGUGGUUGCCUUUGGGGAGUGAGGAUUGAUUAGAAGGGGUUUUGGGGGUAUGAAAAUGUUCUUGAUCUUCAUUCCAGUGGUAAUUUCAUGGGUGAAUACAUUUGCCAAAAUUCACUGAAUUGUACACUAAAGAUCUGCAUUUCUCUGUAUUGUCAAUUUAAUCUAAAAAUAAAAAUCUUACCACCCAGAUCUCCCUGGCAAGAAUU